AACUGAGUGUUUUCCCUUCCCCACAAAGGGAUGGCCAGUUUUCCUCUUACAACGGCAGUGGAGGAGCGAGGAAAAUCCUGUGUACCCGUCGGAAAAAAAUACUGGGAAAGGAUUGGAUAUACAGCAUCCUUGGGGGACCACCUCUCCAAACUCCAGGAUCCCAACCAAGAGAAGAGUCUGUCUGCAUCAGAAAUUGCUGCAGCGGCUUCAUUCCUGCUCUUCCUUCAAUUUCAUUUCCUCCACUUCAAACCAAAAAGUGACUAGUGUGCACUUGGUGUGUGCUAAGCCCUGGGCUGGACACCAGUGAUACAAAGAUGGGCAGGACUAAGACGUGACACAAGAUGCUCAGAAGGCAGUGGUGGUGAGAGACAAAGAAACCAUCACCCAACAGGGUGAUCAGUGUGACCUGGUGAUUAGAAGAACGACGAGCAGAGGAAAGAUGGACUGUAAUUCUGCAGGAGGGGAUCAGGGAAGUCUUCUCAGAGUACAUCAGAGAUGUGUCUCAAUAAAGGAGGUGAAGCGUACAUGGCGUGCAAGGUGGAGAACACAUUCCAGAGGAGAGAGCAUCGGGAAAGGCAUUGAGGAGGUAUUAGGAAGGCGCCGUGUUCUAGAAACUCCAGGUAGUUUGACACAGGCAGAUUUUUCUCUAUGGGGGAUGAGAGGGAAAAAAGAGACUGGAGAAGAAUGAAGAAUCCAGAGGAAGCCAGGCCUCACUUGACAGCCUAAGGAGCUUACAUGUGUCCAUAGAUGAUGGGGAGCCAUUAAAGGAUUGGAAGCAGAGAAGCGACACAGUCAGCUCUGUGUACCGACGUAGCGUAUGAGCUGGACAGAGGCCAAACUAGAGUUGAAUGGAUGGAAGGUUACCACAAUAUUCCAGGAGAGGAAGCAAAGCUUCACACUGACCAAUCACCGAAAGUCCCUCUGUUGACUAGACCAGAGCAGAUCGAAGCAAACGCUCUGCCUUUUGCCAGAUCCUGUUGCCUUCAUGGGACAGUGCUGUGGUUCUCCAAACUCGUACAGGUUACACAGGCAGGUAUAGAACACCAGACUAUGCGGAAAGAGAAUAAAAAUGGGAUGUUUAUCUGGGCUACAAUUGGUCCCCAAAGCGAAUGAUGAAACACUGUCCCCACGAAUGGUACCUGCCACAUAGUUCCAUUGGUGGCAGCCCUGGAGGUCACCAGGAGUCUCAACAUCCCUCUCCCAGAGACUGGCACCUCAGCAGCUCAGGUGCAUGGCUCCACAUCCUGCCACAGCACUUGCCAGAGCCAAAGCUUACCCUCCAGGGCCACCCUGGUAAGUGCAGGAUUUUGAGCACUGGCCAAUUUAAAUCUGUAAUUCAACUAAAAAAUGGCAAUAGAAAGUUAUUGGAAAUUUUCUUUUAAUAUGAUUUUCCAAGGUUCAGAAUCUCCUCACCCAUCAACCUCACCACCAAAGUCAAGGCCUAAAACGAGAUUAAAAACACUGUUUUUCUGGAUUGCUUAA